GGGAUAGAAUUCCAGGAGUAGCGGUGAAAUGCGUAGAUAUCUGGAGGAGUACCAAAGGCGAAGGCAGUCCCCUGGUCCGAUACUGACACUGAGGUACGAAAGCGUGGGGAGCAAACAGGAUUAGAUACCCUGGUAGUCCACGCCCUAAACGAUGUCGAUUAGCCAUUGGAAGGACCCCUUUUCCUUUCAGUGACGUAGCUAACGCGUUAAAUCGACCGCCUGGGAAGUACGACCGCAAGGUUAAAACUCAAAGGAAUUGACGGGGACCUGAACGAGCGGUGAAUGAUGUGGAUUAAUUCGAUGCUACGCGAAGAACCUUACCUACCUUUGACAUGGCCAAAGUUCUACCGAGAGGCGGAAGUACUCGUAAGAGGAUUGGCGCACAGGUGCUGCAUGGUUGUCGUCAGUUCGUGUCGUGAGAUGUUGGGUUCAGUCCCGCAACGAACGCAACCCUUAUCUUUAAUUGCUCCUAUUUUAACAGGCACUUUAAAGAAACUGCCAAUGAUAAGUUGGAGGAAGGUGGGGAUCACGUCAAGUCCGCAUGGCCUUUAUAGGUAGGGCUUCACACGUCAUACAAUGGUUAGAACAAAGAGCUGCAAAUUCGUAAGAAGGAGCCAAUCUCACAAACCUAACCUCAGUUCGAAUUGCGGUCUGCAACUCGAGCGCAUGAAGCCGGAAUCGCUAGUAAUCGUGGAUCAGAAUGCCACGGUGAAUACGUUCUUAGGUCUU
rnacentral:rRNA from 1 species